ACGAACGCUGGCGGCGUGCCUAAUACAUGCAAGUCGAGCGGAAUGAUGAAGAAGCUUGCUUCUUCUGAUUUUAGCGGCGGACGGGUGAGUAACACGUGGGCAACCUACCUUGUAGAUUGGGAUAACUCCGGGAAACCGGGGCUAAUACCGAAUAAUCCAUUUUGCUUCAUGGCGAGAUGUUGAGAGACGGUUUCGGCUGUCACUACAAGAUGGGCCCGCGGCGCAUUAGCUAGUUGGUAGGGUAAUGGCCUACCAAGGCGACGAUGCGUAGCCGACCUGAGAGGGUGAUCGGCCACACUGGGACUGAGACACGGCCCAGACUCCUACGGGAGGCAGCAGUAGGGAAUCUUCCACAAUGGACGAAAGUCUGAUGGAGCAACGCCGCGUGAGUGAAGAAGGUUUUCGGAUCGUAAAACUCUGUUGUAAGGGAAGAACACGUACGAGAGUAACUGCUCGUACCUUGACGGUACCUUAUUAGAAAGCCACGGCUAACUACGUG
rnacentral:rRNA from 1 species